AGAAUCAACGCUGGCGGCGUGCCUAACACAUGCAAGUCGAACGAGAAAGUGGGAGCAAUCCCACGAGUAAAGUGGCGCACGGGUGAGUAACACGUGACUAACCUACCCUUGAGUGGGGGAUAACCUAGGGAAACCUGGGCUAAUACCGCAUAAUACCUACGGGUCAAAGGAGCAAUUCGCUUAAGGAGGGGGUCGCGGCAGAUUAGUUAGUUGGCGGGGUAAUGGCCCACCAAGACAGUGAUCUGUAUCCGGCCUGAGAGGGCGCACGGACACACUGGAACUGAAACACGGUCCAGACUCCUACGGGAGGCAGCAGUGGGGAAUUUGCGCAAUGGGGGAAACCCUGACGCAGCAACGCCGCGUGGAGGAUGAAGCCCCUUGGGGCGUAAACUCCUUUCGACCAAGACGAUAAUGACGGUACUGGUGGAAGAAGCACCGGCUAACUCUGCGCCAGCAGCCGC
rnacentral:rRNA from 1 species